AUAUAUCUGACUUAAAUUUCAACCCAACCAAGCAUAUUACACACACGAAAGCCUCUACAUCUACUCCUAUAUAUUCUCAGCACCAUGCCUAAUUUUCUUCAAACUGUAGUUGAUUCAUUCUCUUCUUCAAAAAUCCUAGCACAAUCUUGUAUUUUAUUUCCUAAUAAUGUCCUCUUCUAAGUUCUCCAUCUUAGUUUUCUUAAUAAUUGCUCUCUCAUUUUCCAGCAUCCAUGUUGGCUUAGCGGCUCGUCAUCUUUUGCAACUGCCACCUUUGCCUCCAAUGCCCAAUUUACCAGCACUGCCACCAUUGCCUCCAAUGCCCAAUUUACCAGCACUGCCACCUUUGCCUCCAUUGCCAAAUUUACCAGCACUGCCAAAUCUGCCAAAGCUCACACUUCCCCCACUUCCUAGCUUGCCCAGCAUGCCCAAAAUUCCAGAGCUCAAUCUGCCUCCGCGGCAGUCAAUUCCGCCUGCAACCACUAGCCCUUGAUGAUCAAGCUCUUAUAGCUUGCUUCACCUUACAAAGGCCAUCUACAAUUCUACAUUUUAAUAUCGUCAGUGCUGAUUCUAAGCGCUUAUUUGGUCUAGUUUACGUACUUGUGAGCUUUCUCUCGAAGUUCCUUUCGCUAUGUGUCGGUAUCUGUAAAAUUGAUUUUCAUUAUUAUUUAUAGUUUUUUGUAAUAUAUGUGGAUGUAAUUUUCAUGUAUAAAGAAGUUUGAGACUCAUAUGCUGCUUGCUUCAUGUAGGAUAACUAAUAUAUUUGCUAUUAUUGUCGUAUAUAUGUGCUACGGAUCUUAAUAAAACUUAUAGUGCUUUUUAUGUUUCUUAAUAUAAGUGUAGU
rnacentral:lncRNA from 1 species